CGUGGGUGAUCUGCCCUCGGGUGGGGAAUAACUCAGGGAAACCUGGGCUAAUUCCGCAUGAUAUUCUCGAUACUCAAGUAUUGAAAAUCAAAGCUGGGGACCCUUCGGGGCCCGGCGCCUGAGGAGGAGCCCGCGACCAAUUAGCUUGAUGGUGAGGUAACGGCUCACCAUGGCUACGAUUGGUAGCCGGCCUGAGAGGGCGGACGGUCACACUGGGACUGAGACACGGCCCAG
rnacentral:rRNA from 1 species